AUCUAAGUAGUUUAAAUAAAAUUUUGAUUUGUGGAAUCAGAGAUAUACUAUAGUAUUUUAGAUA
rnacentral:tRNA from 1 species